rnacentral:misc_RNA from 1 species
AGCGGCCGCGGUAAUUCCAGCUCCAAUAGCGUAUAUUAAAGUUGUUGCAGUUAAAAGCUCGUAGUUGAAUUUCGGGAUCAAUACGUCGGUCGUGCUUCGGUACGUACUGGCGUAAUUGAUUUCUCCCUUCUGACGAACCAUGAUGUCAUUAACUUGGUGUCAUGGGAAAUCAGGACUGUUACUUUGAAAAAUUGAGUGUUUAAAGCAGGCUCACGCUUGAAUACAUUAGCAUGGAAUAAUGAAAUAGGACGUUCGAUCCUAUUUUGUGGUUUUAGGAUCAAC